rnacentral:ncRNA from 1 species
CAGCCCAUGCUGAAAAUUAUCCGAUAUAGGGCCGGGAUAGUAGAACCCGAAAUCCCGGCAGGAGAUAAGAAA